rnacentral:misc_RNA from 1 species
AAGUCGUAACAAGGUUUCCGUAGGUGAACCUGCGGAAGGAUCAUUACAACGUAUCCACGUACCAAACUCUCGAACUGUUCCCAACGGAGCAAAGCGCACAAACUCGUUUUGUGUGAAUGAAGUUAAUGGCCGGCUGUCUUUCGCUGAUGGAGUCAUCUCUGACUGUUGUCGGAAGACUGAAAGGCCGUCGGUCGCCGGGGCUCACGCUCUGGGACUUUGUUUGUUCCGCUGCGGUUUCUACCGUCAGCGCCUGUUUUACCAUUAUUAACCCUUUGAACUACUGAACUGAACUUGAGACCUCGCAAAACCGUCCUUGCUGGCUUCGGUCACGGACAGUUAAGCUUGGUUUCUCCGUUUACGAAACAAAAGAACAACUCUUAGCAACGGAUAUCUUGGUUCUC